rnacentral:rRNA from 1 species
AUACGGGGGGUGCAAGCGUUAAUCGGAAUUACUGGGCGUAAAGCGCGCGUCGGCGGUUUGCUCAGUCGGAUGUGAAAGCCCAGGGCUCAACCUUGGAACUGCAUACGAUACUGGCAAACUAGAGUGUGAGAGAGGAUAGUGGAAUUUCCGGUGUAGCGGUGAAAUGCGUAGAUAUCUGAAGGAACAUCAGUGGCGAAGGCGACUGUCUGGCUCAACACUGACGCUCAGGUGCGAAAGCGUGGGUAGCAAACAGGAUUAGAUACCCUAGUAGUCC